rnacentral:rRNA from 1 species
AUACGUAUGUCGCAAGCGUUAUCCGGAUUUAUUGGGCGUAAAGCGCGUCUAGGCGGCUUAGUAAGUCUGAUGUGAAAAUGCGGGGCUCAACCCCGUAUUGCGUUGGAAACUGCUAAACUAGAGUACUGGAGAGGUAGGCGGAACUACAAGUGUAGAGGUGAAAUUCGUAGAUAUUUGUAGGAAUGCCGAUGGGGAAGCCAGCCUACUGGUCAGAUACUGACGCUAAAGCGCGAAAGCGUGGGUAGCAAACGGGAUUAGAUACCCUGGUAUUCCACGCCGUAAACGAUGAUUACUAGGUGUUGGGGGUCGAACCUCAGCGCCCAAGCUAACGCGAUAAGUAAUCCGCCUGGGGAGUACGUACGCAAGGAUGAAACUCAAAUGAAUUGACGGGG